rnacentral:lncRNA from 1 species
GGAUCAUCAGCACACCUGGACCAGCUCAGAACAAUGGUCCCCACCAAUGUCUCAGUCACCGGAGAAGACCCUCCUCUCACCAAGAUGCCCCCUGAGCCCACCAGAAUGAGGCACUAUCGCUCAAGUUUUUGGUUUCUCCUACCUGAGAUGGCUCUCCUGGCUGGGCUUGGGAGUCCACACCCUCUAUCAGAAAUGGACAGAUUCAGCAGGCAGAAAAUCAGUAAGGACACGGUUGAACUCAAAAACACCAUCAAUCAUCUGGAUAUAAUGGGCAUCUAUAGACUGCUUAAUGCAAUAACACCAUAAUACACAUUCUUGUCAAGCUCACAUGGAACAUUCACCAAGAUAGAACACAUUCUGGGUCAUGAA